rnacentral:rRNA from 1 species
UACGUAGGUGGCAAGCGUUGUCCGGAAUUACUGGGCGUAAAGCGUGCGCAGGCGGUUAUGUAAGACAGAUGUGAAAUCCCCGGGCUCAACCUGGGAACUGCAUUUGUGACUGCAUAGCUAGAGUACGGUAGAGGGGGAUGGAAUUCCGCGUGUAGCAGUGAAAUGCGUAGAUAUGCGGAGGAACACCGAUGGCGAAGGCAAUCCCCUGGACCUGUACUGACGCUCAUGCACGAAAGCGUGGGGAGCAAACAGG